rnacentral:rRNA from 1 species
GACGAACGCUGGCGGCGUGCUUAACACAUGCAAGUCGAACGCUGAAGCUUGGUGCUUGCACUGGGUGGAUGAGUGGCGAGCGGGUGAGUAAUACGUGAGUAACCUGCCCUUGACUCUGGGAUAAGCCUGGGAAACUGGGUCUAAUACUGGAUAUGACAUGCCACUGCAUGGUGGUGUGUGGAAAGGGUUUUACUGGUUUUGGAUGGGCUCACGGCCUAUCAGCUUAUUGGUGGGGUAAUGGCCUACCAAGGCGACGACGGGUAGCCGGCCUGAGAGGGUGACCGGCCACACUGGGACUGAGACACGGCCCAGACUCCUACGGGAGGCAGCAGUGGGGAAUAUUGCACAAUGGGCGGAAGCCUGAUGCAGCGACGCCGCGUGAGGGAUGACGGCCUUCGGGUUGUAAACCUCUUUCAGCACGGAAGAAGCGAGAGUGACGGUACGUGCAGAAGAAGCGCCGGCUAACUACGUG